GAUCGGUAAUACUACACAUACUACAUAAGGGUCAAUGGUGGCUCUGCAGCAGCGCGUUUAUAUCUUUGUUUACAUGGGUUAGUCCGACAUUAAAACCAACCGGAGACAAUCAUUACCGGGAUUUUAAAGACAUUAAACAAUGGAGCGACUUUAAUCACCGGAUCUUCAUCCAGCACCGGCUCUUCUCUGCUGAUGUUCACCGACGGAGGGUCACAUACACUCACACACACCGAGUUUUUACAGUGAUGGCUUGCGCUGAGACCGUUUCCAGCGUUGCGGAAUCCGGAGUCGGAGGAAUUGCCGCCUUUUCUCAAGCGAUCACCUGCGGAAUGGCGAUGCCACGCCCCCUCCUGGCCUGGUCGGGUCUGCUCACCGCUAACAUGGUGCUGACCGCGGGAAGCGUGCACGCUCUGCCCAGGCGAGCGCACCCUCUGCAGGCUAACUACGUCACACACAACACCCGGGAUUUGCCCGCAGCAGCAGCGUCGCCGCCUCCUUCGACGUCCUGCAGCCGCACGACCACUGUCACGCUCUGUGACUCCUCCUCCUCGGUGCAGCAGCAGCCAGACACAGCCUCUGUCCACCCCCCGGAGCCUCACCCAGCCUGGACUUCAGACCAGCCCGUUAACAGUGACACAUUGUGGGAGACGGACCAGGAGCUGGAGAUCAGGACAGUAGCUCAUCAGCUGAGGACCAUCGGGGAUGAGUUCAACGCCUCGGUGCAGCUCAGAAUGCGUGUCCACCAGGGGCAGCACUGGGAGGUUUUCUGCAGAGGACUCCUGGACUUCAUCACGCAGACGCUGAGCGUUCUCUAUCACCUCACGUAGAGCGCAUGUAACUCAGGCAAUCCAACUGUUGUUUACUGUCGCUGUCGGCAAUGGCAGCCAUGACUCAGCGAAAUCUGGAACUUUGUUGUUGUGGAAAGAGUGUCUGUGUUUCUCUCUGUUCGUACGAGGAGGAGGAUUAUCUAUUAGAGCUGCACACAGGUGGUUUUGAGAAAAGGCAGUUUUUUAGGACAUUUUUGGAGUUCUUAAAGAAGAAAAAAAGCAAAUUAUGAAAGUGAAAAGAACAAAAAAUCAUUGCAACAACUUAAUGUAGAAUUUAAAUGAUAUUUUACUUUAAAAAAGGAGGAUUCCAUAAUUAAACACCACAAAGUGACUGAAAUAUGUUGAUUUUAAUAAGUUAAAAUGAAAAUUCAAUAAUGUAUUUGAAAAAUGGUCAAACUACUCUAAACAUGGAGAUCAUAAUAAUAAUUUUUCAUAAUUCAACACACGUUGCAAUGUUCAGGACAACCUAGAACGUAGAAUUGAAUUGAUAUUGUUUAACUUUAAAGUGACAUAAACGCCCGCUCAUUAAUAUGUUGAUUUUAAAAGGUUAAAAUUAAAUAAUAAUUUAUUUGAAAACGGCAUAUCACCAUUUCAAAGUGUAACAUUUUGAUCAAAACUCAAACCUGUUUUUGUGUUGGACUGAUAUUUGCUUAUGUAAAUGAAAAUUUUGUUUGUUUGUCUUUCUACGCUUUCACACUGUGAAUGUCCUGUUUGUGAGAGAACCAUAAACUGCGUCACAUCAUCGCACUGUGUGCCUUCAUCGAUGCUCCCAUAACGGGGAUAAUCGCACACACACACACACACCCACACACUGCAUUACCCCCCCCCCCCACACACACACACACACACACACACACUGUCGGCUGUAAAUACGUUUUGUAAAAUAAAAGCUCUUGCUCUUCUAAAAACCA
ensembl:lncRNA